rnacentral:lncRNA from 1 species
UUUAUGAAUACAGCUGGUCAACUCUGGAUGAAAAGCCACGAUAAAGGGCAGGCCCCUCCCUCAGGCUUAUUAGCAGUGGCUUGAUAUCAAUGGCUUUCUUUGUGGAAGAGCCACCAAAUUGUGCCUUAGCUUGCCAUGCUCCUGCCACCUGUGCCUGCACAAGGUGUCCACAUGAACAGCUGAGAAUGCAGCUGAAUCCACGAGGGAGAAGUGCCUGUUGCAGAUGAGAGAAACAAUCAGGGGAGGUGUCUGCCGGAGGGGCGGGCUGGGGUGGAAGGAGUGGGGGCUGGGAUCCCAGAAGGCGGUUAGAUUUAAUAGAAAGGCUAUGUAAG